rnacentral:tRNA from 1 species
UAAACAAGAGUGUGUCUUGCACAUGAGCCUUUGAAGUUCGUAGUAAUAGAAGAGACUAUUUUGUUUAA